GGUGAGGAGAGUAUCCUAAGGCCAGCGAGAGAACUGUUGUUAAGGAACUCGGCAAAAUGACCCCGUAACUUAGGGAUAAGGGGUGCCACCAUCAGGUGGCCGCAGAGAAUAGGCCCAAGCGACUGUUUACCAAAAACAUAGGUUUCUGCUAAGUCGCAAGACGAUGUAUAGGAGCUGACGCCUGCCCGGUGCUGGAAGGUUAAGGGGAUCUGUUAGAGCAAUCGAAGCAGUGAACUUAAGCCCCAGUAAACGGCGGCCGUAACUAUAACGGUCCUAAGGUAGCGAAAUUCCUUGUCGGGUAAGUUCCGACCCGCACGAAAGGCGUAACGAUUUGGGCACUGUCUCAACAACAGACUCGGUGAAAUUGUAAUUCCGGUGAAGAUGCCGGAUACCUGCGACAGGACGGAAAGACCCCAUGGAGCUUUACUGUAGCUUGACAUUGGGUCUUGGUACUACAUGUACAGGAUAGGUGGGAGGCUUUGAAACCAGGACGCCAGUUUUGGCGGAGCCAUCCUUGGGAUACCACCCUUGUAGUACUGGGACUCUAACCAUAGGCCAUGAAUCUGGUCUUGGGACACUGUCAGGUGGGCAGUUUGACUGGGGCGGUCGCCUCCCAAAAGGUAACGGAGGCGCUCAAAGGUUCUCUCAGUACGGUCGGAAAUCGUACGUAGAGUGUAAAGGCAAAAGAGAGCUUGAUUGCAAGACAUACAGGUCGAGCAAGGAUGAAAAUCGGACUUAGUGAUCCGGUGGUUCUGCGUGGAAGGGCCAUCGCUCAACGGAUAAAAGCUACCCUGGGGAUAACAGGCUUAUCUCCCCCAAGAGUCCACAUCGACGGGGAGGUUUGGCACCUCGAUGUCGGCUCAUCACAUCCUGGGGCUGUAGUAGGUCCCAAGGGUUGGGCUGUUCGCCCAUUAAAGUGGUACGCGAGCUGGGUUCAGAACGUCGUGAGACAGUUCGGUCCCUAUCCGUCGCAGGCGUAGGAAAUUUGAGAAGACCUGUCCUUAGUACGAGAGGACCGGGAUGGACG
rnacentral:rRNA from 1 species